rnacentral:rRNA from 1 species
CAGCAGUAGCCGCGGGAAUACAGAGGGUGCAAGCGUUAAUCGGAAUUACUGGGCGUAAAGCGCGCGUAGGUGGUUUGUUAAGUUGGAUGUGAAAUCCCCGGGCUCAACCUGGGAACUGCAUCCAAAACUGGCAAGCUAGAGUAUGGUAGAGGGUGGUGGAAUUUCCUGUGUAGCGGUGAAAUGCGUAGAUAUAGGAAGGAACACCAGUGGCGAAGGCGACCACCUGGACUGAUACUGACACUGAGGUGCGAAAGCGUGGGGAGCAAACAGGAUUAGAUACCCCGGUAGUCCCUGUCUCUUAUAC